AUGACAGAGUCCUGCUUCCCAGAUCCCAAGAGAAGUGAGAGCAAACACAUGGAGCAGCUCAGAAUAUGGAAUGAUGCAGCUCACAGGAGCCUCAGAACUGCCCCACCUCCUGCAGCAGGAUCCAUCCUGUCUGAGAUGCUACCCAAGAAAGCAGCAGCUGUGAAGGAAAGAAAAGUAAAUAUUCAGCACAGGAGCUGGACUGGGCCCGGAUUUUAUUUUUUUUUGGUGAAAAUCCAAAUGCUCUCUCUAAGGUCUCAGUGAGACUUUGAGCCAUGGUCAGCUGGACCAUCAUGGGCAGAGCCCCUCGUUUGCUUCAGUCUUUUGGAAGGUAAAGGAGAGAAGUGAAGAAAGCCCAGCGGUCCCCAAACUGUGUGAAUCGACCUGCUUGGGGCUGUGUUGUAAAAACAUUAGAUUGGAGAUCUGGGCAUAAUAAACGCAAGAUAACAUUGCCA
rnacentral:lncRNA from 1 species